rnacentral:rRNA from 1 species
CAAUAGCGUAUAUUAAAGUUGUUGCAGUUAAAAGCUCGUAGUCGGAUUUUGGCAUCACGCCGAACUGUCUGCCGAUUGGUAAGUACGGUUUGGCGGUGGCUCUCCUUCCGGAGGCUCGUUCCCUUCUUAACUGAAGGGUUCGUUGGUUCCGGGUCUUUUACUUUGAAAAAUUAGAGUGUUCAAAGCAGGCAAUCGCUUGAAUACAUUAGCAUGGAAUAAUAGAAUAGGACUUUGGUUCUAUUUUGUUGGUUUCUAGGACCGAAGUAAUGAUUAAUAGGGACAGUGGGGCAGUUAGUAUUUAAUUGUCAGAGGUGAAAUUCUUGGAUUUAUGAAAGACUAACUACUGCGAAAGCAUUUGCCAAGGAUGUUUUCAUUAAUCAAGAAC